CCUUCGAUCUACUGCAGUAUUUACUCUUUCUCAAUUGUGGCAACCCUUAAGCAGCAACGCCGCGUGGAGGAUGAAGGUUUUAGGAUUGUAAACUCCUUUUGUUAGAGAAGAUUAUGACGGUAUCUAACGAAUAAGCACCGGCUAACGCCGUGCCAGCAGCCGAUGUAAUAAGGAGGGUGCAAGCGUUACUCGGAAUCACUGGGCGUAAAGAGUGUGAAGGCGGGAUAAGAAGUCAGCUGUGAAAUCCUGUGGCUUAACUACCGAACUGCAUUUGAAACUGUUACUCUGGAGUUGGGGAGAGGUAGGUGGAAUUCUUGGUGGAGGGGUAAAAUCCGUAGAGAUCAAGAGGAAUACUCAGUGCGAAGGCGACCGGCUGGAACAUUACUGACGCUGAUGCACGAAAGCGUGGGGAGCAAACAGGAUUAGAUACCCGUGUAGUC
rnacentral:rRNA from 1 species